CCUACGGGAGGCAGCAGUGGGGAAUAUUGGACAAUGGGCGCAAGCCUGAUCCAGCCAUGCCGCGUGGGUGAUGAAGGCCCUAGGGUUGUAAAGCCCUUUCAGCGGGGAAGAUAAUGACGGUACCCGCAGAAGAAGCCCCGGCUAACUUCGUGCCAGCAGCCGCGGUAAUA
rnacentral:rRNA from 1 species